CCCGGCAGUUCUACUCCUAGGUAUAUUCUCAAGAGAAAUGAAAACACAGAUCUACAUCAAAACUUGUAGACAGCUGUUCAUAGCAAUGGUAUUCGUAAUAGCCAAAAGUGGAAACAGUUGAAAUGUACAUCAACCAAUGGCAUAUGCAUACAACAAAAUAUUAUUUGGUACAACAUGGAUGAACCUUGAAAGCAUUGUGUUAAAUGAAGGAAAGCCAGGCACUAAUGUCACAUUUUAUAAUUCCAUGUACAUGAAAUGUGAAGAAAUGGCAAAUUUAUAGAGGCGGAAAGUAGAUUAGUAGUUGUCUAGACCUGAGGGAUCAGAGGGGAAAUGGAGAGUAACUAUUUAUGGGUAUGAGGUUUCUUUGCGGGGAGAUGAAAAUGUUCAAAAACUGAUUGUGGUGAUAGUUAUACAACACCGUGAACAUACUAAAAAAAAAUCAUUGAAUUGAAGCUUUUAAAUUGUGAAUUUUAUGAAAAUAAACCUGUUUAUAAAAAAAGUUCUGAGCCAUGGACAAAGGGUGUGUUUUAUUUCAGUCCUGAGAAUAUAUUUCCACUGCUAUUGGUUUAAAGGAGAGCUUUAUGAAAAUCUUGGCCUCAUUUUCUGAUCAAGUUUCCACAACUGCCAGAUGAGGUUGGUAGAGCAGAGAUUAUGCUUGUUUACAGAAGGCUGGUUUCAAUCUGUUAGGUGGCUUGCUUAGGGUCGUACAUCCAACUUGGAAGGAGGAGGGCUGAGGUGCUGGCUCAUAGGAUGAGCCCAGAGAAGUUUUAUCACAAGAAGAACCAUCUGCAAACACUUCCACCCUCUCAAGAAGUCCUUCAGAGAGAGGUUUAUCCGCUCAGUGAAAAGGGUAGGAGGCUGAUAGCCGCUGGGUCCGCACACCAGGGGCGGGGCCAAGCCCAUAAAGCCUCAGGCUCAUCACUGCCCUCUCACUUUUGAACUCCCAGCUCAGGUUCCCUGGGGGCUCAUUUUGUGCAUCACAACAAGAGGGUGCUUGCUUGUACUGCCUACCUGUCCUCUGCCGUCAGCAUCCAGCAUCUCCAUCUGGGACUAGGUGAGUGUUCUAAUGAUCUCUUGCUGAGAACCAAAGCUUAGUGACUGAAAACAACAGCCAUUCCAUCAUAUAUCACAGUUUUAUAGAUUAGGGAUUUGACUGGG
rnacentral:lncRNA from 1 species